rnacentral:rRNA from 1 species
GUCGAACGAACCUUCGGGUUAGUGGCGGACGGGUGAGUAACGCGUGGGAAUCUGCCCUCAGGAGGGGGAUAACGGUUGGAAACGACCGCUAAUACCCCAUAUGCCGAGAGGUGAAAUGAAUUUCGCCUGAGGAUGAGCCCGCGUCUGAUUAGCUUGUUGGUGAGGUAAUGGCUCACCAAGGCUUCGAUCAGUAGCUGGUCUGAGAGGAUGAUCAGCCACACUGGGACUGAGACACGGCCCAGACUCCUACGGGAGGCAGCAGUGGGGAAUUUUCCGCAAUGGGCGAAAGCCUGACGGAGCAACGCCGCGUGAGGGACGAAGGCCUCUGGGCUGUAAACCUCUUUUCUCAAGGAAGAAGAUAUGACGGUACUUGAGGAAUAAGCCACGGCUAAUUCCGUGCCAGCAGCCGCGGUAAUACGGGAGUGGCAAGCGUUAUCCGGAAUUAUUGGGCGUAAAGCGUCCGCAGGCGGCCUUUCAAGUCUGCUGUUAAAGCGUGGAGCUUAACUCCAUCAUGGCAGUGGAAACUGAUAGGCUUGAGUAUGGUAGGGGCAGAGGGAAUUCCCGGUGUAGCGGUGAAAUGCGUAGAUAUCGGGAAGAACACCAGUGGCGAAGGCGCUCUGCUGGGCCAUAACUGACGCUCAUGGACGAAAGCCAGGGGAGCGAAAGGGAUUAGAUACCCCUGUAGUCCUGGCCGUAAACGAUGAACA